rnacentral:rRNA from 1 species
UACGUAGGGGGCAAGCGUUUGUCCGGAUUUAUUGGGCGUAAAGAGCGUGUAGGCGGCCAUACAGGUCAGCUGUGAAAACUCGAGGCUCAACCUCGAGACGUCGGUUGAAACCGUAUGGCUAGAGUCCGGAAGAGGAGAGUGGAAUUCCCGGUGUAGCGGUGAAAUGCGCAGAUAUCGGGAGGAACACCAGUAGCGAAGGCACUCUACUGGGCCAUGACUGACACUGAGAGACGAAAGCUAGGGGAGCAAAUGGG